CCUCAGACCCCAUGCUUUCAAUUUAGAUGUUCUACACUCACACUCAUAUACUUUAUAUUUAAUACUUGGUUUAUUAACAUAUUCAUACAACCCAUUCAAGACUGGCAAACUCACAACUUCCAACAGUCUAACACACAUCCACACAUCAGAUUCUCUCUCUCUCGGCUCAAGAUUGGGCUGAAACCAAGCCCUCACACACACAACAUUCAAAGUUCAAGUAUUUUUCUAGUGAUCCCAAGCCUUGGUUUUUGAUGAUUCAAGCUCAAGACUUCUUUUAUUCUGAAUUGCUACCUUCUCCUUGCUUUCUUUAAGAAUGCUUUAAGAUGCAUGCUAACAAGUUCACAUUCUUGGAAACAACAUCACGGAAUCACGCUAAGCUAGCAUUGCACAGGAAUGUCCAGACAUGCAAGUUUUUGCAAAAGAAAACACUAUUUCGAUGA
rnacentral:lncRNA from 1 species